GUAGGGUGCAAGCGUUAUCCGGGAAUCAUUGGGCGUAAAGAGCUCGUAGGCGGUUCAGCAAGUCGGCUGUGAAAUCCCGAGGGCUUAACCUCGGAACUGCAGUCGAUACUGCUGUGACUAGAGUCCGGUAGAGGAGAAUGGAAUUCCCGGUGUAGCGGUGAAAUGCGCAGAUAUCGGGAGGAACACCAGUAGCGAAUGCGGUUCUCUGGGCCGGUACUGACGCUGAGGAGCGAAAGCGUGGGUAGCAAACAGGAUUAGAUACCCUGGUAGUCCACGCCGUAAACGUUGGACACUAGGUGUGGCGUUCCGACCAACGGGUGCCGUGCCGAAGCUAACGCAUUAAGUGUCCCGCCUGGGGAGUACGGCCGCAAGGCUA
rnacentral:rRNA from 1 species